CAUCAUUUUUUUUUUUUUUUUUUUUAAAGAAAUUCUGAACUGCUGCAUGAACUCGUGCAUGAACAUUAAUCAAACAUAUAAGGCUGCAAUUUGGAAAAACCUUCAGGCUAAUGCUGCUGAAAUGGAGGUCAAGAGGACCAUGAAGAGGUGACACCAACUGGCAGAUCAUACCGUUUUUCAGGAGGCAGGCACACUGUUACAGUAAUCAGCUGAUCCAGUCGGUAUCCAAACCAGAAGGUGGACCUGCACCCAAGAACGACCACAACACAUCCCUGAAUGUCAGCGGAGAACAUGUCAACUAGAUGACAGAUCCCUGUGAAGACCUCAUUGAUGGCCCCAGCACAGGUCCUCAACAAAGACUACAAGAACCAGACAAGCCCUCUGCACAGACCCUUUUUACCAGCUUCACCUGCUGGCAUGAUGUUUCUUCAAGCAGAAGAAGUUGGAUGAAAUAUUCUGAAUGAUAUCAAUCCACAAUCUGAUUUGUGAUGCAGCCCUGAAUAAUCACACCACGUUCAUUUGUUUGGCCAGAGGAGAACUGGUUUCCUGACUGAGCCUGGUUUUGAUGUGGUUUGGGUUCUUUGCUACUGUUGCCUUUUGUCUUGCUUAGUUGAAGACACCUAAUAUAAAGCAAUAUUAUUGACUUGACUGCACUGACACCAUUGGAUAAGAACUGAACUGACCUGAAAUAUGGCAUCCCUGUUUGCUACAUAAUGUUGUUGUUGUUGUUUUUUAAAUAAUAUACUGUAAACAUAAUUUACUUAUUUUGUGCUUUAAAAAGUGUGUUAAUGUUUAUA